rnacentral:rRNA from 1 species
GAUGAACGCUGGCGGCGUGCCUAAUACAUGCAAGUCAAGCGAACGGACGAGAAGCUUGCUUCUCUGAUGUUAGCGGCGGACGGGUGAGUAACACGUGGAUAACCUACCUAUAAGACUGGGAUAACUUCGGGAAACCGUAGCUAAUACCGGAUAAUAUUUUGAACCGCAUGGUUCAAAAGUGAAAGACGGUCUUGCUGUCACUUAUAGAUGGAUCCGCGCUGCAUUAGCUAGUUGGUAAGGUAACGGCUUACCAAGGCAACGAUGCAUAGCCGACCUGAGAGGGUGAUCGGCCACACUGGAACUGAGACACGGUCCAGACUCCUACGGGAGGCAGCAGUAGGGAAUCUUCCGCAAUGGGCGAAAGCCUGACGGAGCAACGCCGCGUGAGUGAUGAAGGUCUGCGGAUCGUAAAACUCUGUUAUUAGGGAAGAACAUAUGUGUAAGUAACUGUGCACAUCUUGACGGUACCUAAUCAGAAAGCCACGGCUAACUACGU